AGGUGUGGCCACAGCAGUGCUAAGUACAAGAUCACUGCUGGAGAGGUUCUUUUUAGAGAGAAAUAGUAAUUGAAUUGCAAAAAAAUAUAUCAUAGCCCUAGAGCUAUUUUCCACUGCUGAUAAAGUCUGCUCAUUGUUGAUGUUUCUCUUGACUCAAUCCUCAUGUAUCUGAAUUUUUCUACAGUCAUGCCUUCUGAAGAGACUGAGAAGCAGAGAUGACUUAUGGUAGGGCAAUAGCAUUUGGAACACACUGUGGCUGGAGUAUGUGUGAGCAGAAAGAAGCAGUAUCCAUCACUUAAACACUGUCUAUCUGACUUGGUUUAUCUCUCACCUGUUAUAACACUUCAAGGAUCGUGGUUGCUAUCAAAUUGCUUUCCAGAGCACCAGGUUUUGUUGUUGACUGAUGACCCAACAGAACUGUUUUAUUCUACCACAUACCCACAUGUCUGCUGCUGAAGGAUUUCUGAAGACUUCAUGUCACAGUAGAGCUGUCUAAUAGAUACCUUCUACCACACAUUUUUAGGGUGAACUCUUUGAAACAUAGCACAUUAGCAGCAACCUUCAGAGGAACAUUCCUUUGAAGCAGCACGUUCCCCAUAAUUUCUGUUCUGUUCAUGCCUUCUCUGCCCCUUAGCCACAGCACAUUCUGCUGUAUCUCAUGCCAACAUUGCUCAUUCUGAUAUAUUCCUUUAGUAGAUUGGAGGUAAUUCAGUUCUGGGCCUUAGCUUUUUAAAUGUCACAAAGGUGUCAUGAAUUUGUUCUGUGCCUCAAAAAGAGCACAGUCAUCAGGAAAAAAAAAAAAAUAGGAAACAAUCAAACUGAGAAGACCAAAGACAAUGCAACAACACAAGAAAAUAUGUCCUAAAAUGUCUGUAUCUACUACCUGCAUUUUCCAACAGCACAUCUGUGAUACAGAUCUUUUUCCCAGUGGUUUACAUUUGCCAAGCAGUAAAAGUGUACUUUUUCCAACUGUUUGAAUAUGCAGGCCCACUCAUCUUAAAAAUAA